UACGGAAGGCAGCAGUGGGGAAUAUUGGACAAUGGGCGAAAGCCUGAUCCAGCCAUGCCGCAUGAGUGAAGAAGGCCUUCGGGUUGUAAAGCUCUUUUAGUGAGAAAGAUAAUGACGGUACUCACAGAAGAAGUCCUGGCUAACUCCGUGCCAGCAGCCGCGGUAAUACGGAGAGGGCUAGCGUUAUUCGGAAUUAUUGGGCGUAAAGAGCGCGUAGGCUGAUUAGUAAGUUAAAAGUGAAAUCCCAAAGCUUAACUUUGGAAUUGCUUUUUAAAACUGCUAGUCUAGAGAUUUGAAAGAGGAUAGAGGAAUUCCUAGUGUAGAGGUGAAAUUCGUAAAUAUUAGGAGGAACACCAGUGGCGAAGGCGUCUAUCUGGUUCAAAUCUGACGCUGAGGCGCGAAGGGCGUGGGGAGCAAACAGGGAUUAGGAUACCCGU
rnacentral:rRNA from 1 species